GACGAACGCUGGCGGCGUGCCUAACACAUGCAAGUCGAACGGAAGUAAGAGCUUCGGUUUUUACUUUAGUGGCGAACGGGUGAGUAACGCGUGAGGAACCUGCCUUUCAGUGGGGGACAACAGUUGGAAACGACUGCUAAUACCGCAUAAUGUUUCCGAUCCGCAUGGAUUGGAAACCAAAGCUUUAUGUGCUGAAAGAUGGCCUCGCGUCUGAUUAGCUGGUUGGUGAGGUAACGGCCCACCAAGGCGACGAUCAGUAGCCGGACUGAGAGGUUGACCGGCCACAUUGGGACUGAGAUACGGCCCAG
rnacentral:rRNA from 1 species